rnacentral:rRNA from 1 species
UACGUAGGUGGCAAGCGUUGUCCGGAUUUACUGGGCGUAAAGAGCGCGCAGGCGGUCGUCCAAGUCAAAUGUGAAAGCCCCCGGCUCAACUGGGGAGGGUCAUUCGAUACUGUUCGACUCGAAGGCAGGAGAGGGAAGUGGAAUUCCGGGUGUAGUGGUGAAAUGCGUAGAUAUCCGGAGGAACACCAGUGGCGAAGGCGACUUUCUGGCCUGUUCUUGACGCUGAGGCGCGAAAGCUAGGGGAGCAAACGGG